rnacentral:rRNA from 1 species
GUACGCUGGCGGCACGCCUAACACAUGCAAGUCGAACGAAGUAGCAAUACUUAGUGGCAGACGGGUGAGUAACAUGUAGGUAUCUGCCCUUUGGCCUGGAAUAACACGAGGAAACUUGUGCUAAUACCGGAUAAGUCUUUACGGAGAAAGCUUUAUGCACCAUUGGAUGAGCCUGCACUUGAUUAGUUUGUUGGUGGGGUAAUGGCCUACCAAGACUGUGAUCAAUAGCUGAUUUGAGAGGAUGAUCAGCCACAUUGGGACUGAGACACGGCCCAAACUCCUACGGGAGGCAGCAGUGGGGAAUCUUGCACAAUGGAGGAAACUCUGAUGCAGCGAUGCCGCGUGAGUGAAGAAGGCCCUUGGGUUGUAAAGCUCUUUCGUCGGGGAAGAAAAUGACUGUACCCGAAUAAGAAGGU